GGGGAAUAUUGCGCAAUGGGGAAACCCCUACGGAGCAAAAACGCGGGGGUGGAGAAAGGUUUCGGGUCGUAAAGGCCCGUUAAUGGGGGAGGAAAAAAGAAGGGACCCAAACAAGAAAGCCCGGCCAACCACCUGCCAGCAGCCGCGGUAAUACGUAGGGGACAAGCGUUGUCCGGAUUUACCUGGGCGUAAAGGGCACGCAGGCGGUUUUUUAAGUCAGAUGUGAAAGGUACCGGCUCAACCGGUGACAUGCAUUUGAAACUGAAAGACUUGAGUAUUGGAGAGGCAAGUGGAAUUCCUAGUGUAGCGGUGAAAUGCGUAGAUAUUAGGAGGAACACCGGUGGCGAAGGCGGCUUGCUGGACAAAUACUGACGCUGAGGUGCGAAAGCGUGGGGAGCAAACA
rnacentral:rRNA from 1 species